AUACGUAGGGGGCGAGCGUUGUCCGGAAUGACUGGGCGUAAAGGGCGUGUAGGCGGCGGUGUAAGUCUGGAGUGAAAGUCCCGCAUUCAAUGUGGGAAUUGCUUUGGAUACUGCAGUGCUAGAGUGCGGAAGAGGUAAGUGGAAUUCCCAGUGUAGCGGUGAAAUGCGUAGAGAUUGGGAGGAACACCAGUGGCGAAGGCGACUUACUGGACUGUAACUGGCGGUGAGGCGCGAAAGUGGGGGGAGCAGACAGGAUUAGAUACCCUGGUAGUCCACGCCGUAAUCGAUGGGCGCUCGUCGGCGGCGGCAGACAGUCGGCGGCCAAGCGAAAGCGAUAAGCGCCCCACCUGGGGAGUACGGUCGCAAGGCUGAAACUCAAAUGAAUUGGCGGGG
rnacentral:rRNA from 1 species